rnacentral:lncRNA from 1 species
CUGCAGGCUUUACGUUAGAGGAACCGUUUUGGGAUACAAGAGGUCGAAGUCCAACCAGUACCCGAACACUUCGUUGAUUCAGAUCGAAGGAGUGAACACAAAGGAGGAGGUGGCUUGGUACCUCGGCAAGAAGAUGGCGUACAUCUACAAGGCUAAGGUUAAGAAGAAUGGAUCUCAUUACCGCUGCAUUUGGGGAAAGGUUUGCCGGCCUCACGGUAACAGCGGCCUUGUCCGAGCCAAGAUGAAGUCCAACCUGCCCCCCAAGUCAAUGGUAAUACUAACUGUACUGAUGUUCCUUUAUUUAUUUUUCCUAUUUGGUUUGCUAUUUGUUUUUCUUAAAUGAAUGUUUCUGUAUUUUGAUAUUUCAGGGAUCAAGGGUUCGGGUCUUCAUGUACCCAAGCAAUAUUUAAGGUAUUCUUUAUCCGCUUUUUUGAAAAUUUUCCAAGGUUAUGUUUAUGGUUGCUUUUUGGUGAAAAUUUUGUUACCUAUACUUUUCAGUGAGAUGUUUCUUUUGCGAUAUCUGAAUUAGAGUUUAAUAAUUUGGGUCGUUUACAGGAUGCUCUAACUUGUAGAGUUUGGUAUUUUGAGUAACUUCCAAGGUUGGUCGAUAUUUGGAGUUGAUUUUUUGGGUUGGAGUCUGUAUAUAUAGAUAUGUGGUCGCAAUUUACUUUUGUUCCUCAUAUUGCUUUCAUGAGUGCUUUCCCUUUGACAAUGAUGUGUGCUUGUACUAAUUUUUGAAGCUUUCUUUGUUAGAAUGGUUGUAAGGAGGAGCUGGUCUUUGUGAAGAAUUUGCUUGAAGUUUUACACAUCCGUCUUUAUGCAAUACUAAAAUUUGUAGGCUUAUAGAGCUCAGCUUGAGUAGCGGAUGGUUUUACCAGAUUUCUUGUGUUGGAGUUGAGUUUUACCAGAUUUAUAGUUAUGGCUUAAAUUUUCAGACAUGCAUCAUUUUAGUGAAUGAUGAGGUAAUAUGGAGAAGUUUUUCAUGAGAACAGUUUGUGUGGUUACUGGUGAACAUGACCAAAAAAUGUGGGUGGAGGGAGAGCGAGCAAGAUGCGGAUCUUAAGACUAUACAGAGGAUGUCAAUCAUGCUUAAAAUUGUUUGUGUUGCACAAUUCAUCCAAAAUAUGGCUGUUAGAUAUGCAGAAUUGAUGGAGAUUUGUGUGCACAACAUGUGGGGGGUGAAAGGGACAGAUUUUGUUAAUUUUCAUGAGGGGACUUUGAUUUGUUAAGUAAUAUCCCCUCCACAUUUCAGGAAGCAUGUUAGAAAAGACGGCACUGUGGCUAGUUUCCAAGUAUUUUGAAACUUCCCCAGUGUAAGUUAUCCAAAGUUACUGCAGACACAGUUGAAAGCAAUUUUGUUGAUCGGCACAGAUUUAUCCUAAUUUAAUAUAAUGAGUUAGAUUAGCAUUCAAUAGCUUUAAGUUGACUUCUUUUUGGACACAGUUUGAUGUUCUGCUGUUGGGGCACUGAUGUGUAAUGUUUAGCUUGCGGCGGGUUUCUCAUAUGCAUGUAUGCUACAUUUUCCAUGUUUGACCUGUUCCAUCUGGCUAUGACUAGAAGCUACUCCUGAUUUUUGUGAUCAUUAUCGUUUCUACUGUUUCCAUUCUUAGUGUUGCCAUGAAUUAGGUUUUGUUAAAUUGGUAUGGAGUCGUUUUUGACUAUUUGCUUGGCUACUAGUCAUUUGUUUGGACAUUUACAGUUUUCUUAUGUUGUUGCAGUGUUCCAGCAAAAGUAGGAGCAGACUGCUUGAGGUCAUUGGUGGCUUUAGAAGGUCAUUGGUGAUUGAAGGACGGUAUUUAGAGUCAAAAUAUACCCCUUUUUUUGUGGACUUACCCUGGUCUCUGAAUUUAUCAUGUUUGUUUAAUACUAUGAAUUGAACUUGCAAUCUGAUGAGGCAAAUUUUGAUUGUUUGGAUUUAUCCUUUUUCACUUGGGUGUUUUUGAUCGUUAGUCAACCAGAAUUAUUGUUGAUUCGUCUCUUCAUGAUGUGACUGUGGGUAUUGUUUGAGGUUAGCUUCCUUCUGAUUUUCUCGAUAAUUUGCUGUCGAUCAAAUCAGUUGGGAACGUUCCUACCCGGUUCCUGUUUACAUCUGGGAUGCGAAUCUGUUAUCGAUAGCUCUUCUUCCUCGACUUUUUCCCAAGAAAAUAGUUGAACUGAAGAGACUCUAUAGUGAAUAAUAAGUGCGGCUUCUUAAUUCUUAUACUGGAAGGUAUGUCUGCGUCGGUAGGUGGUUUUUUUUUUUUUUGGCCCGCUUUCGAACUCUUUUACCUCUUUCUUUGGACAAUUUCUUAACAGGUUAAUUACCUUUACCUCCCUCAAAUUUUUUCUGUAUUUCAAUCAGCCCCUUAGGUGUGAUCAAAUUACAAAUUCAUCCCCCCAAGAUCAAAAUUUCAAACUAUCACACCCUUACCAUUUGUACUAUAACGUUGACCACAUAAUCAUGUUUCCACUAAAUGAGCAAAGAUUUAUCGUGAAAGUCCUAAAAUGUCCAUGUAAACCCGAAGUUCUUCUUUUCCUGUGUUUUCAUGCGCAAUUAAGUGGACCUUGGAGAUAAAAAUUAUGGAGGCGCCUCCAAGCCAAGUGCUUCGAUUUGGCAAUAAUACAACAAAAUUUCAAAGAAAUUUCACUAAAAUAGAUCACAAUUCUUCUAGGAAAUAAAGGAAAAUUAAGUUUAUCAAAAUUUGAGAAGCCCAAAGAAUUUGUUCCAAAAUUUUAUGAAAAUAUAAAGGGAAAAAAAAUAAAUGAUUUACAAAAUAAAGGACAAUAAGCUAUUAGUUCUUUGGAGCAAGUCUUAAACGGUACAUGCAAACUAGGGAAUAGGAUAAUCUCAAGGGAAAAAAAAGGAAAAGAGGAAUGAGGUUUAAUAGAUGAUUUUUGUAAUUUCACCGAAACAUGCAUACCCAAGCACUCAAAUUGCCGAUCUACCAUAAUCUUCAUCAUAUCCAUCUCAAACACCAUAAAAUCUUCAGAACAUUUAGGGUGAAUUAAAAAUAAAUUCUAACAGGCUUUCAAAUUUAUCCAAAAUUUAGUUUAUCGUGGUAUGAUUUCUCAAUAUUGUAUGCUUUUUUGGGUUUUGUGUAUUUCAAUGGAGGCUAGAAAAAGACGGGAGGGCAGAAGGUUAGCGGGUGUCUUGGUGAUUGGUGAAGCAUACUUUGCAAUCAGAUUUUGCAGCAUCCCAGACUACAAGGGGUAAGAUCGAGGGGCAUGAAGGUAGGAUCUUGAGAGCUUGGACAAUAUAUCAAGAAUUGUAGGGAUGGAAGAAUUCUUCAGUCUUUCUUUGUUCUUUCUUCCUCAUUGAUUUUUUUCUUCUAGCCCCUGCUUGUUUCUUUGAAGCAAAAUUCUCUGUCUUUGGUUUCUGGUAGCUCAUUUACUAAUUUCAUUUUUGGCAUGUUUUAGAUGACGGUAUUGUUGUACCUUUGUAACAUCCGUUAAUUGGGUUUAAACAGUGUCAUUUGUAUGGGGUGAUUGUUAUUUGAUUAAAACUCAAGGUUUAUUUUGUAGUUUGGCUGAACCUCCGAGGAGUUGUAUGUAAUUAACCCUUCCUUAACCUUAAUCUUUUCUAGUUACUAUUUCGUUUCCUUAAAAAUGAUGUUAAAAAUCAAACUGUCUGCAUUGGCAUCCAAGAAUGUGAGAAUAUGGGGUUAUUUUGAUGGGUAAAAACUCGAGUAAAUUUGGUUUUCAAAAAUUCAAUGAUUCAGACUGCGUCACUUUUCGAAUUAUUUGCAUUCGCAUCAAAGAAUAUGAGAAUGUGGGGUUAUUUUGAUGGGUAAAAGUUGGGAUGAAUUUGGUUUUCAAAUAUUCAAUGAUCAAGAUUGUGUCAUAUUACUUGGUAAGCGAGGUGACACAAUUUAGAUUAUUGAAUUUUUGAAAAUUACAAGUGAUUUAACAUAAUUUAGAUCAUUAAGGGCGUGUUUGGAUCCCUUGUUUUUAAGGCCGUUUUUGAAAAACUAUUUUUCACAUUUCAAAUGUUACAGUAAAUGUAUAUUUCCAAAACAAUUCCAAAAACAACAUAUCCAAACAUUAUAUCAAAAACAACUACAUAUCUAUAUUUCAAUUAUGUAUAUUAUAUAUAUAUAUAUAUAUAUAUUAUAUUAAUAUAAAUUGAAAUAUACAAAUUGAAAAUUAUAUAUAUAUUAUAUAUAAUAUAAAUAUUUAUAUAAAUUAAUAUUAUACAUAAUAUUGUAUAUUAUACAUAAUAUAAUAUAAUAUACAUAAUAUGUAAUAUUGUACACAUAAAUGUGUAAAUAUUUAUACAUAAUAUAUUAUGUACAUUAUAUUAUAAUAUAUACAUUAUUAAUGUAUAAUAUUAUUAUGUACAUUAUUGUGUAUAAUAAUGUUAUGUAUAAUAUAUAAUAUACAUAAUAUGUAAUAAUGUAUAUUAUGUAUAAUAUAUUAUAUUAUGUAUAGUAUACUAUAUAUAUACAAUAUUAUGUAUAUUAUACAAAUUGAAAUUUAUAUAUUAAAUAUUAUAUGCAUAUUUAUAUAAUGAAAUAUACAAUAAACAUUACAAAUUGAAAUAUUAUAUAAACACCAUAUUUAUAAUAUUAUAAUCUUUAUAAUUAAUAUUAAUGUAUAUUAUAUAUAUUAAAUAUUUAUAUAUUUAUUUAUACAUAUUAUAAAUAUUUUUAUAUAUUUAUAUGAGUAUUAUAUAUUAUAUAAAUUAUAUAUAAUAUAACAUAUAUUACAUAUUAUAUAUAUUAUACAUUUAUAUAAAUGUACAUUUAUACAUAAUAUAUAUAUUAAUGUAUAUUUAUAAUAUACAUUUAUAUUAUGUAUUAUAUAUAAUAUAAUACAUUUGUAAUACAUUUAUACAUUUAUAUUAAUAUACAUAAAAUUAAUUUUAUAUUUACAUAAUAUUAAUAUAUUUGUACAUUUAUAUUAAUUAUAUUAAUACAUUUAUACUUAAUAUUAAUAUAUAUUAAUAAAAUUAUAAUUUAUAUAUUUAUAUAAUAUUCAUUUAUAAUUUAUACAUUUAUAAUAAUAUAGACUUAUACGUUUAUAAAUAUAUUUAUAUUAUGUAUUAUAUAUAAUAUAAUACAUUUAUAUAUUUUUAUAUAAAUACAUAAAUAUAUUUAUUUAUAAAUAUUUAUAAAUGUAUUAUAAAUGCAUAAAUAUAUAUUUAUAUAAAAAUAUAAAAUUUAUAAUUUAUAAUUUAUAAUUUAUACAUAUAUAAUAUUCAUUUAUAAUUUAUACAUUUACAAUAAUAUGCACUUAUAUAUUUAUAAAUAUAUUUAUAUUAUUUAUUAUAUAUAAUAUAAUAAAUUUAUAAUAAAUUUAUAUAUUUUUAAAUAUAUUUAUUUAUAAAUAUUUAUAAAUGUAUUAUAAAUGCAUAAAUGUAUAUUUAUAUAAAAAUUAUAAAUUAUAAAUUUUAAUUUAUACAUUUAUAUAAUAUUCAUUUAUAAUUUAUACAUUUAUAAUAAUAUACACUUAUAUAUUUAUAACUAUAUUUAUAUUAUGUAUUAUAUAUAAUAUAAUACAUUUAUAUAUUUUUUAGAGAAUAUAUAAAUAUAUUCAUUUAUAAAUAUUUAUAAAUGUAGUAUAAAUGCAUAAAUGUAUAUAAAAAUUAAAAAUAUAAAUUAUAAAUUAUAAAAAUACCAAAAAAUAUGUUUUAAAAAUACCUCUAAAAAUAAUCCAUAAAACAUAUAUAGUAAAAGUUUUUCAUAUAGUUUUUGAAAAACAACUCCAAAAACAACUAAUCCAAACGGACUUGUAUUUAAAAAACAAAAUGCUACAGUGCUGUUUUUGAAAAACAACCCCAAAAACAGCUAAUCCAAACAGAGCCUAAAUUUUUUAAAAUUGGAUCUACUCAAGUGUAAGUAAUUUUAACAUGGAUCAAUCUUCUUCUUGUGGAACGACUUGCAGGGGUAUCUUGGUUCUUUAUUUUUUCUUCUUUUGGAUAACUGUCAAAUUUUACAUUUCCGACUUUUUUAUUGUGCUUAAUGUUGGCCUAAUCAGCAACAUCCCUCAGAUCCCGGCUCGAAGGGACUAACCGCCCAGCCCGUGGCACCCAGGGGUGCAGCCCCUCAUGCUGGCCGAGCGUGGUACGGUGCUUUGCGCUGCCAUUGUGGUUAAGGAAAUAAAGUUGCGCCUUCGCUAACAGCUAUAACUUUUGGUGCAAUGGUAAGCGCUUGAUCCUGACACUUAAGUUGUCCAUUUAUCCUUGGAUCAUUUUGCUUACGGAGCAUUGGCCGUCCCCAAGAAAAAGUCCAGCACCUCGAGAACUUGGAACAGCAAAAUCCCGAUGGGGCGUGCAGAAUGGUAGGCCUUUGAUGGAUGAAGGCCCGUCAUCCCCAACUAGGGCUGCAAACGAAUCGAGCCGCUCGCGAGCGGUUCGAGUCAGUCAAACUCGAGCUCGAACUCGAGCUAAGAAUAUUAAACUCGUUAGCUCGCGAGCCGGCUCGCGAAUUUGAGUAUAUAUAUAUAAAUAUAUAUAUUAUUUUUAUUUUUAUUUAAUGAGUAUAUAUAUAUAUUAUUUUUAUUUUUAUUUAAUAAUAAAAUUAUGUAUAUUACAUAUAUAUUUUUUAUUUUUUAUUUUUAUAGUAAAAUUACGUAUAUAUCCUUAAUAUUUUAUUAUUUAUUCAGAAAAAAAUAUUAUUUUAUUUAUUUUUUAAAAAAUAAAAUAUUUAUUUUUUAUUUUUUUCGAGCUCGACUCGAAUCACUUGAACUCGAGCUCGAAAAUUGCCGGCUCGUCGAGUUUGAGCUUGAUAAAAUUUAGUCGAGUCUCGGCUCAAUUAGCUCAAAACUCGACUCGACUCGACUCGUUUACAACCCUAUCCCCAGCACACCAAAAAAAGAAAAAAAAAAGAAAAGAAAAGAGCAACAAAUGAUUUGAAGAGAAAAGUGAGGUAAGGAAGCGCGUUAAAAGUGACAUUGUGAAAGAGGAAGCGUUACCAAUUUGUUUCGGGCCAGAUUUUAAUACCAGUAUGAGCCCUUUAUGUGUUACUCUGUUUAUCCCGUCGCGUUCUGAUGUUUGUUGGAGUAAAAUGAAAUUUGGUUCACAAAGAAUCAAGCAGCCACGACACAUUUUACUAUUUGAGCCGGUUGCUGUUACUUACACACAUUAUCAAAUACCAAAACCAAAAAAUAAAAAAGGAAAAAAAUGUGAUUUGAUAGUGAUUUUCUAUCAUAACCAUCCCCAUUUAUUUGAUUGAGUGACGUAUUUUUGAUUUUAUGUUUUAACUGGCUAGUUUUUCGAUUAAUUUUUGCAAAAAAAAAAAAAGACAUUUGGGAUUUUGCGCGAGGUCUCUUUCUUGCCAUAGGAGCUAAGCUAUACUAGGUAGGUUAUCUUUAUAUUUUUUAUAACAAUAUUAAUAUAACUAUUAUUAUUAUUAGUAGAGAAGAUGUGUGAUUUUAAAUUCUAGCCUCUGAACCUUAAUCACUUUGAAUCAAAAGGACAUCUGAAUCAUGACCUCUUAUCCUUAACCCCCUAGACCAAGGAGUUUGAACUCUAGUUUUGAUAUAAAUUUUUGUUUGUUGUACCCCUAUAUUUUACCUUGAAAAUUCAUUGGCAAAUUAUAUUGAUUUUGUUAUCUAACAAAGUUGCCUUUACACUUGCAACGAAGAACCAAAUUUAAUUCUCUCACUAGAAGUUUAAGGGCAUGUUGUUAUAAUAUAACCAUCAUAAAAAUUGUAACUAACAAAAUAAUUGUAAUUUGAUAGAAACAAAUUUUACAAGAUCAUAGUUUUGCCUCUUUUGUUAAAUCAAUUAUAAAAGGACAUUAUUUAUACGCAUAGUAGGUAAGCCCUUAACAAUAUUCCAAGUAAACUGAAAAAAAGGUGAAAGCGUCGUCUUGAAAUAAUGUUAAGCAUAAACAUGAUAGUUUACUAAGAAUCAACUGAUUAAAUUAACAUGAUUUGCUAAUGAAUGUAAUGUUGCUCACGUUUUAAAAAGAACAAACAGGGUUGCUGGUUGAUAUUUUCUUAUCAUUAAUAUUUAAUACCAAAUAUUUAGAAGCCUUUAUUCCUCAAAAUAAUAACAUCUGCAAUUAGGGGUGGGCACGGGUUGGAUACCCGUCCCUAACAUGAUUUGGCUAACCCGGCCUUAAUAUAUCGGAUCAGUCAUUUUGCGACUCUAACCUGCUCUUAAUGUUUUCGGGUACCCGAAUAGCAGGUAUCCCAAAAAAAGGGGACGGGUCAUAGGGUACCCGCCUCUAAAAAAAACUAUUUUCCAAUAAAAAAAUUUAUUUUUCACUUAAUAUCAACAUGUUUUUCAAUAAAGUUUAUAUAUCACCAUUCUCACACAUUUCAUCCAACAAUCAAAUCGAUCUAUAUAUCACUAACAUGAUUUGUUCUUUUUAAAACGUGAGAAACAUUACAAUCAUUAGCAAAAUUAUGUUAAUUUAAUUAGUUGUUUCUUAUUAAACUAUCAUGUUUGCACUUAACAUUAUUUCAAGAUGACGCUUUUACCUUUUUUCAGUUUACUUAGAAUAUUGUUAAGGGCUUACAUACUAUGCGUAUAAAUACCUUUUAUAAUUGAUUUAACAAAAGAGGCAAAACUAUGAUCUUGUAAAAUAACAUCUGCAAUAGCUAAUAAACAAUUUUUUAUUCCACAAAGCAUGUGAUUUUGAUAGUUUAGGAUUUUUUUUUUUGUCAAUCGUCAUUUCUACUCUUACUCUAUCAUAAUUUAUUUAUAUGGAAGGUUUAACUGGGCAUAUGAAGGACCGAUAGGAACAGAAUCGCCACCGGAUCGGAUGCUCUCAAUUUAAAGAAUCACAUGAUGUGGUAAUAAGUGGAAGUCAACUUCUAACCCUUGCCCAAUAUAAAUCGGAAAAUGAAAUGGCACCAGAAAACAAAUGAAUUUGGAAUGAAGACCUCUUGUACCCCUAUAUGGUAAGUUUCACCGCAACUCUUCUCGGACACCUCCAUAACUAGCUACAAGCAGCCCGAUCCCCCAGUCCCCGCCGCCCCUCACCACCCAUCAGAAAAUGGUUAAGGGAAGCCAAGGAGAGCGCGUCAGGUCAUCUAAUUUUCCGUCUCCCAUCUCCAUUUUCCCCUUAUUCCGUAAUUUCACUGAAUUUGAUUUUUCUCCCGAUUUUUUGGGUUUAACCCUGCAGGCUUUACGUGAGAGGAACUAUAUUGGGGUACAAGAGGUCGCAGUCCAACCAGUACCCGAACACUUCGUUGAUUCAGAUCGAAGGAGUGAACGCAAAGGAGGAGGUGGCUUGGUACCUCGGCAAGAAGAUGGCGUACAUCUACAAGGCUAAGGUUAAGAAGAAUGGGGGUUGGACUUGAACUUAGCUCGAACAACGCCGCCGUUACCGUGCUAAGUUCAAGUCGUGAGUAACAGCGGCGUGGUCCGAGCUAAGUUCAAGUCUGCCCCCCAAGUCAGUGAGCGGCGUCGUCCGAGCUAAGAGGUAAUAUUAACUGUACUGCUGUUCCUUUAUUUAUCAUUCCUAUUUGGUUUGCUAUUUCUUUUUCUUAAAUGAAUGUUUCUGUAUUCUGAUAUUUCAGGGAUCAAGGGUUCAGGUCUGUUAGAUUUAGUCAAUAUUAGCCAGUAAAUAAAAUCCCAUUGCAUUUGGGAUUCUUUGCUUUAGAAUAGGUCUUUCAGUUUAGGAGUUAGUUAGCAGGAGACUCCUUAUUUAUUGUAUUUUCUGUUUGUUUUGUACGGCUAUAUAUAGCCUAAAUAUUUCUCGUUCAAUCACAGAGAAUUCCUUCCACAUUUUUUCUUUCCUCUGCAAUACUCUUUCCUGUUAACCUUACAUCUGGUAUCAGAGCCUCGCAAGAGGCUCUAUACGUAGAAGCAGCAGUCUUCUAAGGGAGUGCAGGCCACGAAAAUGGCAACAGAGAGUGCCUUUAUUCAACCAGCAGUGCCGAGGUUCGAUGGUCACUACGAUCAUUGGGCAAUGCUCAUGGAAAAUUUUCUUCGAUCAAAGGAGUACUGGAAUGUGGUAGAAAAUGGAGUUUUUGCAGCAGCAAAGGGUGUGACUUUAACUGAGGCACAAAAGAAAAUUUGUGAAGAGCAGACGUUGAAGGAUCUCAAAGCUAACAACUAUCUGUUUCAGGCAUUAGAUCGUUCCAUUUUGGAGACUAUCGUCAACAAAGAUACGUCAAAGAGUAUCUGGGACUCUAUGAAGCAAAAAUAUCAAGGAACAACGCGAGUAAAACGUGCGCAUCUACAGGCAUUGCGAAAGGAGUAUGAAAUUGCUCACAUGAAGGAAGGAGAAUCUGUGAAUGAGUACAUUGCUCGUGUUCUUGUCAUCACCAACAAGAUGAAAGCCAAUGGCGAAGAAUUGAAAGAUGUUGCUGUUGUGGAAAAGAUUCUGAGGUCAACGACACCUAAGUUUAAUUAUGUCGUCUGUUCAAUUGAAGAAUCUAAUGAUACAAGUAUUUUGUCAAUUGAUGAGCUGCAAAGCAGUUUGCUCGUGCACGAACAACGCAUGAGCAACACUGUACAUGAAGAACAUGCACUGAAGGUGACCCAUGGAAACCAAUAUGCAGGACAAGGAAGAGGACGUGGGAGCUUUAGAGGCAGAGGCCGUGGAAGAAACAGACAAAGCUUUGACAAAGCAACUGUGGAGUGUUAUGCUUGUCACAAGCUUGGUCAUUUUCAGUGGGAAUGCAAGAAAGGAGUGGCCAAUUUUGCAGAGAGUCAAGUGGAGAGUGAAGAACACAUGCUGCUGAUGGCUUAUGUUGAAGAAAAGAAGCAACACAAAACAGACUUGUGGUUUCUUGACUCUGGGUGCAGCAAUCACAUGAGUGGAAAAAGAGAAUAUUUUUCCGAUUUUGAUGAAAAAUUCACAGAUUCAGUGAAGCUGGGAAAUAAUUCAAACAUGGUGGUCAAUGAGAAGGGCAACAUCAGGUUGGAGAUUGAUGGAGUUGUUAGCAUCAUCUCAGGAGUCUUUUAUGUUCCGGAAUUGAAGAAUAAUCUGCUGAGUCUAGGACAAUUGCAAGAGAAAGGACUGAGCAUUUUAUUCCAACAAGGGCAAUGCAAAAUAUAUCACCCUGACAAAGGUUUGAUCAUGAAAGCUAAUAUGUCUGCAAAUCGAAUGUUCAUCUUGCAUGCCAUCUCCUUGCCUAUAGCACCCACCUGUUUUAACAUAGUCACAGAAGAUGUAGCGCAGUUGUGGCAUUGCAGGUUUGGGCAUUUAAGCUUCAGAGGCUUAUAAAUCUUGCAGCAAAAACAAAUGGUGGAAGGUCUACCAUUACUCAAGCCACCCUCGAAGCUGUGCAAAGAUUGUCUUGUGGGGAAGCAACAUCGAGAUUCAUUUCCAAUGAAAAGUUCUUGGAGAGCAUCUCAGAUUCUGCAGCUAGUUCAUGCCGACAUUUGCGGACCAAUUAAGCCAGCCUCGAAUAGCAAGAAAAGGUACUUGAUUACUUUUAUUGAUGAUUUUAGUCGAAAAACAUGGGUGUAUUUUUUGACAGAAAAAUCAGAAGCUUUUAACAUCUUUAAGAGUUUCAAGAUACAUGUUGAGAAAGCAACAGAUAUGUCACUAAAAAUGUUGCGUACGGAUCGUGGUGGAGAGUUUACAUCUCGAGAAUUCAACAAUUUCUGCAAGGAACAUGGAGUGCAAAGAUAAUUGACAGCUGCAUAUUCACCACAACAAAAUGGCGUUGCAGAACGGAAGAAUCGGACUAUCAUGAAUUUGGUUCGUAGCAUGCUAUCUGGAAAGAAAGUGCCUAAAACUUUCUGGCCAGAAGCAGUAAAUUGGGCUGUGCACGUUUUAAAUCGUAGUCCAACGCUGGCUGUAAAAGACAAAACACCAGAAGAAGCCUGGAGCGGAAUCAUGUCGUCAGUUCAACAUUUCAGAAUUUUUGGUUGUCUCCUAUGCUCACGUGCCUGACAGCUCGAGAACUAAACUAGAUGAGAAAAGCUUGAAAUGUGUUUUACUGGGAGUUAGCGAGGAAUCAAAAGCGUACAGGCUCUACGAUCCUAUCUCACAAAGGAUUAUGGUGAGCAGAGAUGUAGUUUUUGAAGAAUGUGAAGAAUGGAAAUGAGAUAAGCAACAUGAAUUAGUCGUUACUUGGGAGCUGGAAUGGGAAGAUGAUGAAAAGGCAGUGACUGAAGAAUCUCUUAUAGAAGAAGAUGCUGCCAACACACGAUCAGAGGAGUCUCUUACCACUAAUCAAGAAACUCUUCCAGAUCCCGUGGAAGGGAGGAGUAGGAAGCAACCAACUUGGUUGAAAGACUAUGUUUCAGGUGAAGGUUUGUCUGAUGAAGAGGCAGCAUUUUUUGCCUCAUAUACAGCGGCUGCCGAUCCACUUAAUUAUGAAGAAGCAGUGAAGAAUGAAAAAUGGAGAAAUGCCAUGGAUGCCGAGAUUGCAGCCAUUGAGAAAAAUGGUACAUGGGAACUAAUCGAUCGACCAAAAGGAGUCAAAAUAGUUGGAGUCAAGUGGGUUUACAAAACGAAACUUAAUGAGAAGGGAGAAGUCGACAAGUUUAAAGCGAGGCUGGUUGUAAAAGGAUAUGCACAGCAAUAUGGUAUAGAUUACACAGAAGUGUUUGCUCCAGUGGCCCGUAUGGAGACUGUUCGAUUGGUGAUCGCUCUAGCAGCACAAAAAGGGUGGGCUAUCCAUCAAUUAGAUGUGAAGUCUGCCUUUUUACAUGGAGAACUAGUUGAAGAUGUUUUUGUUGAGCAACCGUGUGGUUACAUUCAAGAGGGAAAGGAGAAAAAGGUGUACAAGCUGAAGAAAGCUUUGUAUGGGCUUAAACAGGCUCCGCGUGCUUGGUACAGCCGUAUUGAAACAUAUUUCAUGAAGGAAGGUUUUCAAAAAUGUGAUUAUGAGCAUACCCUUUUUGUUAAACGAAACAUGGAGGGCAGCAUGCUUAUUGUAAGUAUAUAUGUUGACGAUCUUCUUUUCACAGGAAAUGAUGGUUUGAUGUUUACUGAGUUUAAGAACUCGAUGAAGAAUGAGUUUGAUAUGACUGAUCUUGGUAAAAUGAAAUAUUUCUUCGGUCUCGAAGUCUUGCAGAAAUCAGGUGGAAUUUUUAUAACUCAAAGAAAGUAUGCUCAGGAGGUGUUGCAACGUUUUGAAAUGAACCAAAGCAAUUCUGUUCAAACUCCAAUGGUUCCUGGUUUCAAGCUUUGCAAGGAUGAAGAAGGAAUUAAGGUGGACAAGACUCACUUCAAACAAUUGGUAGGCUGUCUUAUGUAUCUGACUGCGACUCGUCCAGAUGUGAUGUUUGCAGUAAGUCUUUUGAGCAAAUAUAUGGAGAAUCCUACUCAGCUUCAUUUACAACUAGCAAAGAGAGUGUUGAGAUAUUUGCAAGGAACAACUGAGUAUGGAAUUUUCUAUAAGAAGGGAGGAAAUGAUGAUUUUUUAGCAUACACUGAUAGUGAUUAUGCGGGUGACUUGGAUGAUAGAAGAAGUACAUCAGGCUAUGUUUUUCUCUUCGGUUCUGGUGCUGUAUCAUGAUCUUCUAAGAAACAACCUAUUGUGAGUCUGUCUACCACCGAAGCUGAAUUUAUUGCUGCUGCUGCUUGUGCUUGUCAAGCAAUUUGGUUAAAAAGAGUGCUCAAAACGCUGGAUCAGACUCAACAAGAGAAAAAUACUAUCCAUUGUGACAAUAGCUCUGCAAUCGAGCUCUCAAGAAACCCAGUUUUGCAUGGUCGUAGUAAGCAUAUAGAUGUUCGUUUCCAUUUCCUUCGAGAACUUGCACAGACAGGUAUGAUAGAGUUAGUUCAUUGCAAUACUUUGGAACAAAUAGCUGAUGUGAUGACAAAGCCUCUUAAGUUGGAUGUUUUUCUGAAGCUGCGUACUAUGCUUGGAGUUUGUGCAGAGAGCAGUAUAAACUAAAUUCGUUCAGCAUUUAGUUUAAGGGAGGAAUUGUUAGAUUUAGUCAAUAUUAGCCAGUAAAUAAAAUCCCAUUGCAUUUGGGAUUCUUUGCUUUAGAAUAGGUCUUUCGGUUUAGGAGUUAGUUAGCAAGAGACUCCUUAUUUAUUGUAUUUUCUGUUUGUUUUGUACGGCUAUAUAUAGCCUAAAUAUUUCUCGUUCAAUCACGGAGAAUUCCUUCCACCUUUUUUCUUUCCUCUGCAAUACUCUUUCCUGUUAACCUUAUAGGGUCUUCAUGUACCCAAUCAAUAUUUAAUGUAUUCUUUAUCCGCUUUUUUAAAAAUUUUCCAAGGUUAUGUUUAUGGUUGCUUUUUGGUGAAAAAUUUGUUACCUAUACUUUCAGUGAGAUGUUUCUUUUGCAAUAUCUGAAUUAGAGUUUAAUAAUUUGGGUCAUUUACGGGGAUGCUCUGACUUUCAGUGAGAUGUUUCUUUUGCAAUAUCUGAAUUAGAGUUUAAAUAUGAAAUUUUGACUCGCCACUUUUAAGAUCAACAAUUGAAUUAAUUGGUUUGUGAUUGUUUUAAAAUUUGAAAGUGUCAAUCGCUUACUUCUUUUGUCAUACUUUUCCUUCGUUUCUUUUUUCUGUUCAAAUUUAAUUCAAUAUAAACACUUGAUAAUAUUUAGAAUUAAAUGUUUUCUUUGUUUUCAAUUUUUGAAUAAAAGUAAAAUGAACAUGAGUAGAAAAUUAACAUUCUUUAAAACUCCUUUAUAUAUCUAUUUAAUUUUACUUGAAUAUUACAUUCAGACGAAAUCAAAUAAAGACAUAUUAUAUGCUAUUUAUAUUGUUCAUGUGAAAUUAAAUAGACAUAUAUACAUGAGUUACUUUUUAAAGUUAUUUGCAUAUAUGAUCAAUGAUGGAUAAAAAAAUUUAAUUUAUAAAAUAUGAGGGUCGAAACAAUUCAUUUUGUGAAAUGUGAAAUAUUAUCAAUCAGAUUAUGUAAAUUUUGAUUUGCUAAUUUUGUCCUUAAAAAUGAUCACGUGCAAAAGCACGUGGUGGAUUCCAAUAAAAAAACUAGAUGCAAAUUUAGGUAGAGAUGAAAUUUGACAAAUAUGAAUUUAUAAGGGACGUAAAAAUACACUUUUAAAAGUGAGAAAAAAAAAUUCAUUUUGCAAACAAUAAGGGGUGUUUUGAACGAUUUUUCCUAAAAAAAAAUAUAAAAUAUGCUAUGUUUUAUUGAUUUAUUUCUUUAAUUUACGGGUCUAUUAUUUCACAUGUUUUACAAGAAAUUUUCAUCAUCUGUAAUUAAAAAAAAAAUCAAAUCUCAAGCAACGUUUGGAUUAAUAAAAGGGUGCAAUUUUAAAGGAAAAGCAAAUAAAUCAAAGCAGAAAAAAAAUUGUCUAACCAUUUUGUUUGCGUUACUUAUACAAAAAAAAAAAAAGAAAAGAAACACCGAAUAUUCUGAAAAAGAAAGGAAAGAAUAGAUUAUGUAUAGUUGCAUUUUAGCUGUAACUGAAUAAAAUCUAAUUGUAAACAUACUUUAAUACUUUAUUUAUUUUUUGUGUAUUUUCACAUUCAUCUUGUUAUUGCUAUAAUAAAUUUAUGAAAUAAUAAUAUUUAGAUGAAAAUUUUAAUAUUUUUUUAAGAGAAAGAAAUUACAAGAAGUAUUAAAAUAUAAAAAAUUUUAAAAUGUUAACAAUCAUCGCUACGAAAUUUAGUAUUCAAGAUUUUCAAUUUUUUCAUGUUCAAAAUCAUGGUUAAUUUAGUACAAAUGACUAAAUUGUUUCUGUCCAUGUAAAUACGUAAUACUUCUUAAGUUGCAAGCAUAGUAAAGUUAUUUGAUCAUUCAUGAGACAAGUGUUGGGCCCAAAUGACUUACAGGGAAAACAAGUGCUAUUUUCAAAUAUUCCGGGGAGGGUAGCGAAAUUGAUAGAAAUCUAAAGGGGGCUUUCUGAAAUAAUACCUAUCAUCAACACAUAUAACCAUCAUUGACUCACCUAGGGUUUUAACGCAACUGUUCUGGGACUCCUCCAUCACCCAUUCCCCGCCGCCCCUCAUCACCCAUCAGAAAAUGGUUAAGGGACGCCAAGGAGAGCGCGUCAGGUCAUCUAAUUUUCCGACUCCAUCUCCAUUUUCCCCUUAUUCCGUAAUUUCACUGAAUUUGAUUUUUCUCCCGACUUUUUGGGUUUAACCCCUGCAGGCUUUACGUGAGAGGAACUAUAUUGGGGUACAAGAGGUCGCAGUCCAACCAGUACCCGAACACUUCGUUGAUUCAGAUCGAAGGAGUGAACGCAAAGGAGGAGGUGGCUUGGUACCUCGGCAAGAAGAUGGCGUACAUCUACAAGGCUAAGGUUAAGAAGAAUGGGUGCAGGUUGGACUUGAACUUAGCUCUGACGACGCCGCUGUUACGGUGAAGAAUGGGUGUAGGUUGGACUUGAACUUAGCCCUGAUAACGCCGCUGUUACCGUUAGGUAAGAGCGGCGUUGUCAGGGCUAGGUUCAAGUCUGCCCCCCAAGUCAGUGAGCGGCGUCGUCCGAGCUAAGAGGUAAUAUUAACUGUACUGCUGUUCCUUUAUUUAUCAUUCCUAUUUGGUUUGCUAUUUCUUUUUCUUAAAUGAAUGUUUCUGUAUCCUGAUAUUUCAGGGAUCAAGGGUUCGGGUCUUCAUGUACCCAAGCAAUAUUUAACGUAUUCUUUAUCCGCUUUUUUGAAAAUUUUCCAAGGUUAUGUUUAUGGUUGCUUUUUGGUGAAAAAUUUGUUACCUAUACUUUCAGUGAGAUGUUUCUUUUGCAAUAUCUGAAUUAGAGUUUAAUAAUUUGGGUCAUUUACGGGGAUGCUCUGACUUGUAGAGUUUGGUAAACUGACCAAUUGGUUAGAUUAUGAGUAACUUCAAGGUUGGUCGAUAUUUGGAGUUGAUUUUUUGGGUUGGAGUCUGUAUAUAGGUAUGUGGUCGCAAUUUACUUUUGUUCCUCAUAUUGCUUUCAUAAGCGGUUUCCCUUUGACAAUGACGUGUGCUUGUACUAAUUUUUGAAGCUUUCUUUGUUAGAAUGGUUGUAAGAAGGAGCUGGUUUUUGUGAAGACUUUGCUUGAAGUUUUACACAUCCGUCUUUAUGCAAUACUAAAAUUUGUAGGCUAUAGAGCUCAGCUUGAGUAGCGGAUGGUUUUACCAGAUUUCUUGUGUUGGAUUUUAGUUUUACCAGAUUUAUAGUUAUGGCUUAAAUUUUCAGACAUGCAUCAUUUUAGUGAAUGAUGAGGUAACAUGGAGAAGUUUUUCAUGAGAACAGUUUGUGUGGUUACUGAUGAACAUGACCAAAAAAUGUGGGUUGAGAGAGAGCGAGCAAGAUGCGGAUCUGAAGACAAUACAGAGGAUGUCAAUCAUGCUUAAAAUUGUCUGUGUUACACAAUUCAUCCAAAAUAUGGCUGUUAGAUAUGCAGAAUUGAUGGAGACUUGUGUGCACAACAUGUGGGGGGUAAAAGGUACAGAUUUUGUUAAUUUUCACAAGUAAUAUCCCCUCCACAUUUCAGGAAGCAUGUUAGAAAAGAUGGCACUGUGGCUAGUUUCCAAGUAUUUUGAAACUUCCCCAGUAUAAGUUAUCCAAAGUUACUCAGACACAGUUACUGCGCACUCAUUUUUUAAAAAAUUAUUCCAAAUAAUCUUCAAUCCGGAGGCAUUUCAAAGUAACUUAGCCGGUUCAAUUAAACUGGUAUACUUGGAGGAGGCAUGCACGCAGAACUGAGCCGGUCCACCCUCACCAGGUCGACGCUAGGAAAGCCGCUUCAUGAAAAGGUUCUUCUUUCUCUGCACAUAAAACCUCCUCACCAUUUGCAGUUGAGGUGGGAAAAUAACUAGGGUUCACCUGCCACAUCUGCAGUAAUUACCCCCAAAAAAGAAAAGGAAAGAAAAAUGCCAUUCAUAUAGAAGAUAGAGAGACAGACGGAUUACAGCCAGUUCGAUUCAACUCUCCCCAUCGUCAUCGACAAUGGCGGUUCGUAUUUCCGCAUUGGGUAACAAAAGCCCUGAUUCUUUGGUUCGCUUAGAUUAAUUUGCUUUGUGAAGUUGUGUUUUGAUAAAAUUCCCGAUAAAUCACACCCUUCAAUUAUGAUUUGGUCUUGUGAUAGCUGGGCAGGGGAGGAUGAGCCUCGGGUUAUAUUCCGGAAAAUUUUAGGCCUCGUCAUAAAACCACUGGUAUCUCUUGAUAUACAUAUGUUCACAUAUAUUUGUAAUUUUCACUAGUGUAAUUUUUUCGGCAUUAUGCCAAUGUUAAUCUCUCUGCCUGUGAAGUUGGAUUUGAACUGAAUAUACCAUUGUGCUAGAUUUUUCCCCAAUCUUCUUCUUCUUCUUCUUUUUUCCUAUUUGAGCAUGGCAUGAAUGAUGGAAAACUUGUUUUUAACCGGUAGGCUGGAUAUCACUUGUAUAUACUGGCUCAACAUAAGCAAAAAUUCAUGGGUCAUGUGCUUGCCAAAUUUCUUUUACCAAAGAUUUGAUUUUUGAUGAAGAUGAAUAAGCUUCAAAUGUCUUCCACCCUCAAUUUUUGGUGCUUUCCUGUAAUUGAAUUCUUUUAUUUAUUAUUAUUAUUAUUAUUCAAAUAAUUGCAUGCUAGGUCAGUAUAUCUGCUUCUUUGUUUUUGCUGGAGCACUAGAUUGAGUGUAAUUAAUACAGUCAAAUGAUUUAUGUAUUUACAUUUGUGGCCUUUCCUGUUCCACUCAACCUAUAAUUUAUGAUUUGAAUGGAAAGAACAAAACCUCUGCAUUCACAUGUUUUAGAUUGCAGAGGUUUUGGACUCAUGGGUUCAAAAUGGUAGCUUCACAUGUUUGAAUCUACACGUAGUUCCGAACUUCGACUUUUAUAAUUUGAUUUUACAUCAAUUAAAAGUUUUUUCUGCAUUCUUUCUAAUGCACGUGAAACAGUCACAGUUGUUGGUGAUCAUAACCCAACGCUGCUAAGAUAUUUUGAUUGCACAUGUUCAGGACCUCGUUCAUCUUUUGAUGGCAAUGUCGUUUAUCAGUUUGAGAUAAUGGAAUAUAUAAGUUUCAUUAAUUUUGAGUAGUAACUGGGUUUCAAGUUACCUUGCUGAAACUUUUCACUCUAUAUUCUCCAAUGAAUACUCUUUACUAUAGAAUGGUGAUCAAUUUGUUUCAUAAUUCUAAUAGGAUAUAAAGCACACCCUCUGUGUCCAUAUGCGUCACACAGCAGUUACUUUUACCCUGUCAAUAGUGAGAUACUAAAAGUCGGUAAUUUGUUAGACUCCUAAGAAGUAUGUGUUAUGUGUUACAUAUUGAUAACUUGCUUUCUCAAUCUGCAUCACAAAACUUAUAUCUGUCAUUUUGUAGAAAUGUUCUCAGUGAAUUACCAUCUUGAUUUUAUGAGUAUUUACUAGCCAUAUGCCAAUCUUUGGAGUUUGUUAAGAAUAUAAAAGCCCCAAAUCAUUCUAGCCUUUACUGCUUUACAUAAUAUUACCUGAGGUCACAUAAGCAGUAUGUUUGAUAUUCAAGCAGUUUCCUCCGAAAUCCACCUUACUGUUUAUACAAGUCUGAACUGACUAAUUAACGCCUAAACGCUUAGCUUCAGUCAUAGCAAUUGUAUAUCUUACAAACCGUAAAGUUUAACAUAACAAAGAAACUCUGAUUGGGGGCUGUAGAUGAAUGUAGAAUAAGGCAGAAUACAUGACACAUAAUGUAAUUUUCCUUUUCUUUUUUCAGCUUUUCGUUAAUCCAAAUGUUUGGAUAUCUUAAUAUGUUCCAUCGUUUUAUCCAGGCGUGUGUUUUCGUGCACCCAUUUGGUCCGGUAGUGGUUCAGUCCCCUCCGUGUUACCCCAGAACCUCCUUAGGUUCGCCCCCUCCCCCUUAGUGUAGGAUAGAUUAGAUUAUACAACAGUUGUUGUCUUUGAAAAAAAAAUAACAAUAUGUUCCAUCAAGUUACCUUCAACAUGUUUGUAUGAUGCUAUUUUGCAUUGAUUGGAAACUGAAACAUUUCCGUUUGUUACAUCUACUUUAUGUUCACAGAUCAAGUUGCUGAGUUGUGUGUUUUUUCUUGCAUGUAUAGAUUCUUGACUUCGGUUUUGAUCGAUUAGGUGCUGAUCAGUCGCAGGUACUGCUACAUCACCUUUCAAUUCUUUACUCGGCUAUAUCAAAGUUCUUUUUGGUGUGAUCUGAUGUAAAAUGCAAUGUGAGAUUUAUCAAUUCGGAAGUUGCUGGUUUUUCUUACUGUCAUCAUAUUUUAUGUGAUUAUCCGGUUUUGCUUGCAAAGCUAUAUAUGUUGUAUAGCGUGAAUAGAUAGUAGAUUUAUUCCUGGAGAUCUGUUUGUCAUUGCAUCCACCCCCCCUAGUUUUACUUAUUAAACUUUUGUGACAUUUCGUGCAGACCUAAUGUUUCGUGUUGACUUUUUGUGUCAUAAGCAGAGAUUCUGAUUUGCACUUUAUAUAUAACUGAGGUAAAUACUGUGGGCUCAAAGCAUUGAAUGUCUUCAUUGAUCUCCUUAAAGAAUUUACAAGCUUUCUUUGCAGGCAAUGGUUGACAUCCCAAAAAUGUUGUGGUUUAGAAUAAGCUUUUUAUGUCAAUUUGAUUCAUUUCUUCAUGUUUAUUUUUGUGCAGCUUGUAGAUGUCUGACUUCAUUUGUGUUUUUUGCAAUAUUUAUCGCUUCAUAUUUGAUUCCUGAAUUUCUUGAUUUUAGAUAUCAGCGUUGGAAAUAUUCAUGUAGUUGAUUUGAUGGCAGAACGGAUUGACCAUCCUGUUUUGAUCACCGAGUGUGCUAUCCAGUCUCGUUGUAGAAUGGCAGAACUUCUUUUUGAGUCUUAUGGAGUUCCUUGAAUAGGUAUGCUUGCCAGUUGUUAGUUAACUGAAGCUUCUGCUUGUUUGGGCAAAUAUUUUAGUUACGGUGAAACAGGGAUGCAAACUCUUAAUAUUAUUGUCAACUGCAUGUUUUAUCUUUGUAUGGAUGUAGCAUGAUUGACACACGAUGGUCACAGCGUAUUGUACUUGUAUUUCUCGUUUUAUAUGGUCCGAUGCCAUGAGUGCUUGGACUGUUGCUAUUUUAAUGUAUCACUUACUUUUUACUUUCCCUUUAGCAGCAUUUGGUGUGGAUGCCACAUUCAGCUACAAGUACAACCAACAACUUGGAAUAUGUAAUAGUGAUGGUCUUGCAAUUUGCUCAGGAUUUAUGACUAGUGAUGCUGUUUGGGUAUGCUUCACUUGUUUUUACUGAAGUUCAUAGGGAUUUUGUGGAUAAUUCCAAUUUCAUGGAGCAGUGAGUACAGAAACAUAUCCAUCACAAAUCUCAACUAUGCGUCACUGCCGCAAUUCUUUUGCUGUUCCAUUAAAGGUUAGGUUAGUUUAUUCUGAAGUUCAGUGCCCAUACCAAGUCACUAUCUUGAUCUGGUGCCACUGAGUCUACUAUUGGUAUCAAGUAUGAAAAGACCUACAUUGAAUAGAUUAUAUUCUUCCAGAAGAAACAUGUUGUUCAUGUAGGGUACACCCAUCCUUAAUAAUUUCAUGAAUUUUGCCAUUAACUUUUUGUAGGUCAACACAAAUAUGCUUUGCCUAUGACCUAUUAAAGAAUUAGUUAUCUAUCUGUAUUUGCCGCAUUAUUCGUUGGAUAUGCACAACCUGUAGGCCUGUCCUACAAACCAGCCAAACACCUAAGCUUGAGCUUGGCAUCAUGGAUUCAGCCAAGUACAGCAUCAUGUAGUUCGCAGGUUGCUCAUAGGAGGAUGCCGAAAUUUUACUUUUAAUGGGCAACCUAUAAUUGACUUGUGAUAAAUAUUCUCAAACUAUACGGGGGCAAUACUUUAAUUUUGUAAAGGAGUAUUUUGAAGAAUUCCAAAUUUUCAAGGGGUGGAAAGGUAAUAUCUUGGAUAAGUAGGGUGGGGGUGGUCCCCUACACCCCUGCAACCAAAGGUCUGGGAUGGAUUGCUGGAGAUUAUUGGUGGUGCAAGGUUUGCAGAGUUUGGUGUUUGGCAUAUGUAGCGCCUUGAAUAUAAUAUUUUAGCUCAAGAUGCUUCUUUGAGGCUCAAGCUAGAAGAAAAUGAAUCACUGAGCUAAGAACCAAAUUGAGCAGCUUCCUUCUCACUGGGGACUAGGAAUGUUUGAUAGCUGAGCAAUGGUUUACUGUGGGCAAUUAAGAAGCCAGAAUAACAAAGUGAAACAUUAACACCUGCAUGUAAUACCAGUUAAUGUAUUCAGUCUCUGAUACUUAUCCUAGUGUUAUAUGAAGUACUGCACCUUAACAACUUGCAAUGGUCUACAAUGUAUAUGUGUAAGUUUGAAUUCUUAUCCAUUUUUCCUAUCACAGUUCAUAAAUGGAGAACCUGCUUACGAAGCAUGUUGCCGAACUAGUGUUGGUGGAUACCAUGUUACCGAUUAUCUGAAGCAGCUUCUUUCACUUAAAUAUCCCCAUCACAUGUAAGCUUGAGAAUGCCGGUCCCUCUGUAAAUGCAAUUGGAACUUUUCUUCAUUUGUUUUGUAGUCUUGAUCGCUUAUUUUUUUUAAAACAGUUCUAAGCUCACAUGGGAAAAAGUUGAAGACCUUAAGAUGGAACACUGUUACAUUGCAUCAGAUUAUACAUCAGAAGUCCGAAUAUUUCAGGUAGUGUAGUUUGGUCUUUCUGACUUGUCUGCAACUAUUCUGCUUUGCUUCUGCAAUCAUCUAAGCAAUUCAACUUGUAGCAGAAAGGGGAUAAAGAAGCUGAAGAAAAGACCAGGUGCUGGCAGCUUCCUUGGACUCCUGCACCAGCUGAAGAACAACCUUCAGAAGAAGAGCUAGCUGGAAAGGCUGCUCUAAAGGAGAGACAGGGUCAAAGACUAAGGGAGAUGGCUGAAGCAAAGAGGUCCUCUCGAAUUAAUGAGCUUGAAAAUGACAUUAGAGGUUUGGAAUUCCUCUUAAAGCAGCUCAAGCUGGUUGAAGAGAAUAAUGUUCCUGCAUUUCUAAAGAGAGACUGGCUAUGCCUCUAAACAGGAAAUAGAAUCUAAUCUGGCAAAGGCAAUACAAUCUUUAUGCAAAGCAAAGGGCGAACAAGUUGAAACUGAGGAGAAGAUGGACGCUUCCACGGCUGACAAGUAUAAUCUUGUCAAUGUGCCUGACAAUGUGCUGACACCAGAGCAGGUGUGUGUUCCGAUUCCAUGUGUUCUAACAGAUCUUUGUCUUAUAGUUUCUGUUGAUUUUGGUAUUUUCUACUGCACAGCAAUUUCUAGUUAAACAAGAUACAAGAGCAGUGAAUGGCUGCUAAAUUGGAACCACAGUAUUGUUUUCAUGUAAUGUUCGUAACUUUCAGAAAUUUAAAUUUUUCACUCUUGUUUCCAUGGCAGCUUAAAGAGAAAAGGAAGCAGUUGUUUCUCAAAUCCACAACUGAGGCCAGGCAACGAGCUAAACAGAAGCGGAUUGAAGAGGAAUUAGAAAGAGAAAAAGCAAAUGAAAAUGGAGGAGGAAAAGCGCUUGUAUGUUUGUGAUUCGCAAGCUUAACUUGUCUAAUCAUUGCUUGAUGAUAUUGUAGAUAUGUGGUCUCUUUUACGUUGUAUUGUCAUUACAUUAUGCUUUGCUUCUGAAUGUAGAGAGAAGCCAGACGUGAUUUGGAGGAUUUACGUGCUAAAUACCGAGAGCUUUCUGAGAGAGUGGAGCAGCGAAAACGCUUGAAGCCAAAUGGCAACAACACAAAUGGGAACCAAAAUGGUUCUGGAGGUGUGGGCCGUGGUGAAAGAUUGAAUGUUGCUCAAAGAGAGAGGAUGCGCCUCCUGACAACAGCUGCAUUUGAUCGAGGGAAGGGCGAGGACACUUUUGGUAGCAUUUGGGAGUUUUGUGGGGUAGAAAAUGAUGGAAAGCAUUUGAUUUGGAUAAAUGAACUCCUACUAUUAUGGUUACCACCGAAUGUGGGCGGAAAGCAUCGAAAAAAAGCUAAGAAUGCCUAAUAAAAUUUUUCUAAAUGCCAAUUUUGUUCUCAAAUGUGUGCUGAAUAAAUUUUUAUUAACACACACACACACACACACACACACAUAUAUAUAUCCAAAAUCAUCACUAAUCCUACCUUAACUCAAAAACAAUAUUAAAAUCUAAUUUUUUUCCUUUCUCUUCUUUUCUUUUCUUUCAUAAUGUAGCAUUUUCUAUCAUUUGUUUUCUAAUCUAAACAUCCAAAUUAACUAUAAAUAUUAGAAUUUGAAAGAUUUUGAAAAGAAAUUGAACGAUACAAAGUAUGAUAUUUUUAAAGAAAAAAUUCACAAUAGAUGGCUAAUGAUAAAAAAAUAGUAAAAUUUGUUCAAAACGUACAUCAUAUUUUACAAAAUAAUUUUUUCGUCCUUCAUUUAAAAAAGUGUAUUUUUACGUUUCUUACAAAUUGAUAUUGAACAAUUUUGGUACCUACCUAAAUUUUUGACUAGUUUUUUAUUGGAAUCUAUCACAUGCUUUACACAUGAUCAUUUUUUAAGGACAAGAUUGUCAAAUUAAAAUUUACAUAAUUUGAUCCAUAGUUCCUCAUAUUUAACAAAAUAAAAUUUUGUCUCUCAUAUUUCACAAAAUAAAUUGUAUCAUCUCUCAUAUUUUAUAAAAUAAAUUUUUUCAUCCCUUAUUGACUAUGUGUACAAAUAAUUUUUUAAAUCUAACUAAUUUUACUUAAAUAAUAUGAAUAGCAUGUAAUUUAUUUUUAUUUGCUUUCAUCUAAGUAGACUAAUUGUAGUUAUACACAUGCUAUUCAAUAGAUAUAUACAUUGGUUUAAAAAUAAUAAUUUUAUUUUAAAUCAAUAUAUAUUUUUAUUUGAUUUCACCAUGUGAAUCUAUUCAAUAUUUAUGGCUUUUUCCCUUUUGUUAAUAAUUCAUUUAUUGAGUUAUAUAAUAAGGUCAUCUAAUAAAUCGGUCCUAAAUCGAAUUCUAUAGUCAUGCUAACAAAUUGUAUUUUAAAUAUGAAAUUUUGACUCGCCACUUUUAAGAUCAAUAAUUGAAUUAAUUGGUUUGUGAUUGUUUUAAAAUUUGAAAGUGUCAAUCAUUUACUUCUUUUGUCAUACUUUUCCUUCGUUUCUUUUUUCUGUUCAAAUUUAAUUCAAUAUAAACACUUGAUAAUAUUUAGAAUUAAAUGUUUUCUUUGUUUUUAAUUUUUGAAUAAAAGUAAAAUGAACAUGAGUAGAAAAUUAACAUUUUUUUAAACUUCUUUAUAUAUCUAUUUAAUUUCACUUGAAUAUUACAUUCAGACGAAAUUAAAUAAAGAUAUAUUAUAUGCUAUUUAUAUUGUUCAUGUGAAAUUAAAUAGACAUAUAUACAUGAGUUACUUUUUAAAGUUAUUUGCAUAUAUGAUCAAUGAUGGAUAAAAAAAUUUAAUUUAUAAAAUAUGAGGGUCGAAACAAUUCAUUUUGUAAAAUGUGAGAUAUUAUCAAUCAGAUUAUGUAAAUUUUGAUUUGCUAAUUUUGUCCUUAAAAAUGAUCACGUGCAAAGCACGUGGUGGAUUCCAAUAAAAAAACUAGACGCAAAUUUAGGUAGAGAUGAAAUUUGACAAAUAUGAAUUUGUUAGGGACGUAAAAAUACACUUUUAAAAGUGAGAAACAAAAAAUUCAUUUUGCAAACUAUAAGAGGUGUUUCGAACGAUUUUUCCUAAAAAAAUAUAAAAUAUGCUAUGUUUUAUUGAUUUAUUUCUUUAAUUUACGGGUCUAUUAUUUCACAUGUUUUACAAGAAAUUUUCAUCAUUUGUAAUUUACAGGGAAAAUAAGUGCUAUUUUCAAAUAUUCCGGGGAGGGUAGCGAAAUUGAUAGAAAUCUAAAGGGGGGUUUCUGAAAUUAUACCUAUCAUCAACACAUAUAACCAUCAUUGACUCACCUAGGGUUUUAACGCAACUGUUCUGGGACUCCUCCAUCGCUAGCUACAAGCAGCCCCAUCACCCAUUCCCCGCCGGCCCUCAUCACCCAUCAGAAAAUGGUUAAGGGACGCCAAGGAGAGCGCGUCAGGUCAUCUAAUUUUCCGACUCCAUCUCCAUUUUCCCCUUAUUCAUUAAUUUGAUUUUUGUCCCGAUUUUUUGGGUUUAACCCUGCAGGCUUUACGUUAGAGGAACAAUACUGGGAUACAAGAGGUCGAAGUCCAACCAGUACCCGAACACUUCGUUGAUUCAGAUCGAAGGAGUGAUCACAAAGGAGGAGGUGGCUUGGUACCUCGGCAAGAAGAUGGCGUACAUCUACAAGGCUAAGGUUAAGAAGAAUGGAUCUCAUUACCGCUGCAUUUGGGGAAAGGUUUGCCGGCCUCACGGUAACAGCGGCCUUGUCCGAGCCAAGAUGAAGUCCAACCUGCCCCCCAAGUCAAUGGUAAUACUAACUGUACUGAUGUUCCUUUAUUUAUUUUUCCUAUUUGGUUUGCUAUUUGUUUUUCUUAAAUGAAUGUUUCUGUAUUUUGAUAUUUCA